AUUAUUAUUGAUUACGAUUUGUCUUUCACUACUCACAUUAAUACUAUUACUAAAAAAUCCUUUAAGAUGCUUGGCUUUAUCAACCGAAACACAGUUAAUUUUAAAAAUAUAAAUGCCUUGAAAACAUUAUUUUUUGCGCUUGUUAGAUCUCAUCUUGAGUUUGGAUCAAUAGUCUGGUCACCUAGUUACAUCACAUUUAUUAAUUCGAUUGAAAAUGUA